rnacentral:tRNA from 1 species
AAGGAUAUAGCUCCGUGGUAGAGCAUUCGACUGCAGAUCGAGGGAUCCCCGGUUCAAUACCGGGUGCCCCUG